rnacentral:rRNA from 1 species
GUUUGAUCAUGGCUCAGAUUGAACGCUGGCGGCAGGCCUAACACAUGCAAGUCGGGCGGUAACAGGAGAGCUUGCUCUUGCUGACGAGCGGCGGACGGGUGUGUAAAGUCUAGGAAUAUGCCCAGUAGAGUGGGACAACGCGGGGAAACUCGCGCUAAUACCGCAUACGCCCUAAGGGGGAAAGGUGCUUCAUUGUACCGCUACUGGAUGAGCCUAGAUCAGAUUAGCUAGUUGGUAGGGUAAAGGCCUACCAAGGCGACGAUCUGUAGCUGGUCUGAGAGGAUGAUCAGCCACACUGGGACUGAGACACGGCCCAGACUCCUACGGGAGGCACCAGUGGGGAAUAUUGGACAAUGGGGGUAACCCUGAUCCAGCCAUGCCGCGUGUGUGAAGAAGGUCUUCGGAUUGUAAAGCACUUUAAGUUGGGAGGAAGGGGUGAAGUAACGAUUCACCUUUGACGUUACCGACAGAAAAAGCACCGGCUAACUUCGUGCCAGCAGCCGCGGUAAUACGAAGGGUGCAAGCGUUAAUCGGAAUAACUGGGCGUAAAGCGCGCGUAGGUGGUUAUUCAAGUUAGAUGUGAAAUCCCCGGGCUCAACCUGGGAACUGCAUCUAAAACUGAGUGACUAGAGUACGGUAGAGGUUAGUGGAAUUUCCUGUGUAGCGGUGAAAUGCGUAGAUAUAGGAAGGAACACCAGUGGCGAAGGCGACUGACUGGACUGAUACUGACACUGAGGUGCGAAAGCGUGGGGAGCAAACAGGAUUAGAUACCCUGGUAGUCCACGCCGUAAACGGUGUCAACUAGCCGUUGGUACCCUUGAGGUAUUAGUGGCGGAGCUAACGCAUUAAGUUGACCGCCUGGGGAGUACGGUCGCAAGAUUAAAACUCAAAUGAAUUGACGGGGGCCCGCACAAGCGGUGGAGCAUGUGGUUUAAUCGACGCAACGCGAAGAACCUUACCUGGCCUUGACAUGUCCGGAAUCUUUCAGAGAUGGAAGAGUGCCUUCGGGAAUCGGAACACAGGUGCUGCAUGGUUGUCGUCAGCUCGUGUCGUGAGAUGUUGGGUUAAGUCCCGUAACGAGCGCAACCCUUAUCCUUAGUUACCAGCACGUAAUGGUGGGCACUCUAAGGAGACUGCCGGUGACAAACCGGAGGUAGGUGGGGAUGACGUCAAGUCAUCUUAGCCCUUACGGCCAUGGCUACACACGUGCUACAAUGGUUGGUACAGAGGGAUGCCAAGCUGUGAAGCGGAGCAAAUCUCAUAAAACCAAUCGUAGUCCGGAUUGAAGUCUGCAACUCGACUUCAUGAAGUCGGAAUCGCUAGUAAUCGCGAAUCACAAUGUCGCGGUGAAUACGUUCCCGGGCCUUGUACACACCGCCCGUCACACCAUGGGAGUGGAUUGCUCCAGAAGUAGCUAAGCUAACCUUGUGAGGCCGGUUACCACGGAGUGAUUCAUGACUGGGGUGAAGUCGUAAC